CGAGCGAAGCGGGAAGAGCUCAAAUUUAUAAUCUGGCACCUUCGGUGUCCGAGUUGUAAUCUCUAGAAGUGUUUUCCGCGUUGGACCGCACACAAGUCUGUUGGAAUACAGCGGCAUAGUGGUGAGACCCCCGUAUAUGGUGCGGACGCCCAACGCUUUGUGAUACACUUUCGAAGAGUCGAGUUGUUUGGGAAUGCAGCUCAAAUUGGGUGGUAAAUUCCAUCUAAAGCUAAAUAUUGGCGAGAGACCGAUAGCGAACAAGUACCGUGAGGGAAAGAUGAAAAGCACUUUGGAAAGAGAGUUAACAGUACGUGAAAUUGUUGGAAGGGAAACGCUUGAAGUCAGACUUGCUUGCCGAGCAAUCGGUUUGCAGGCCAGCAUCAGUUUUCCGGGGUGGAUAAUGGUAGAGAGAAGGUAGCAGUUUCGGCUGUGUUAUAGCUCUUUGCUGGAUACACCUUGGGGGACUGAGGAACGCAGUGUGCCUUACGGCGGAUUUCUCGAGAUCUUCACACUUAGGAUGCUGGUGGAAUGGCUUUAAACGACCCGUCUUG
rnacentral:rRNA from 1 species